CCGAUGCAUAAGAUUUCGUUGGUUGCACGUAGUGACAGAGCACUGCGAAACGUAUCUUUAGAGUGUCUCUUUCCGGUGAUGGCUGCCGGGUGUACUGCGCCGUCAAAAUGGCGGCUGGGUGAGAGAUGCGCUACGGACCGGCAAGAAAAUGAGCGGUUUCUACGACUGCAGCGAGGAUAUAACAACCGGUCACUAUCGCACAAAGAAGGUGUACCAUGCUGAUGAGACUGGCUUGUUUCCUAAGUCCGUCUCCGACGAUAUGCAGGCCAGCAGGAAAGGCAGUUUAACAUUUGGAUGUAAGAUGUUGACCCAAGGACCUGAGAUUGGUGAAGUGUCUCCUUUCAAACGGAUGGACACAUGAAUACCAGCAACCACUGCACGAAGGGUAGGCAUCUACAACAACCCAAGGGACCUGUGCCCUGUGGAGUGUCUCGUUUCACCUGGAUGGACAGAUUAGCACCAGAAACCACUACAAAAAGGGUAGGCCUAUACACCAACCCAGUGGACGUUUGCUUUGUGGAGUGUCUCCUUUCCAAUGGAUGGGCAGAUGAACACCAGUAACCACCGCACAAAGGAUAGUCCUAUACAGCAACUCAGAGGCCCUAUGCUCUAUGGAGUGUCUCGUUUCAAAAGGAUGUGCAGAUAAAUGUCAGCAACCGCACGAAGGGUACACAACAACACAAGGGACCUACAGUCCAUGGAAUACCUCCUUUCAAAUGGAUGGGUGGAUUAACACCAGAAACCACUGCAAAAGGGGUAUGAACAGUCUGUCAUGGAAAAAUUUAAACAGAAAGCUCCCGAUGAUAUGGAAACAGAGCAAAGACAAUGGAAGCUAUUCAGAGAUGUCUCCAUUCUGAAUUACAGUUGGACAGGACAUCCACCAACAUGGUAGGAAGUAAAUGUGCAACUCCUACCGAUUAUGUUACAGUAACAAAUGCCACUUGUUCUCAAUGUGACCAAACAGGGUGAUAAGGCAUGGAACGCAAUGAAGUACGUGGUAUGUAUAGAGAAAAGGGCAGGAUGCCAGUACCAAGCAGAAGUUGGAAGAGUAAGGGAAACUAAGAGGUGACAAAGCUGUGCAGUCGAACACGGUCGCAGUAAAUAAGCCCACAGUCUGAACAGUAGACUGUGCCACAGAAAACGAUGUAUUAGGAAGUGUUGUGCACGACUGAGGAAGCAAUUGAAGCUACUGUCAGAUACAGGGGCACAUCUGUUGAGAAGAAAAAUAUUCCUGUUAGUUGUAAUUUUAGAAUACAUGAAGCAGGAGUAUCUUGGCUGAGAAAUGUCUCCAGCGAAACACUAUGUAGGAGUGAGUGCUGUAUCUUGAAGAUAGUGUACCUAGGAAGAAAUGAUGUUUUCAGAUCAGUGUAUCCAGUUAGCGACCGUUUCUAGAAUCACAU